UUUUGUUUUCGAUUAUUAGUAAAAACAGUUUUAUGUAGUAUGUUAGUAAGGUGUCAUUCAUUUUGACCAAGCUUAUGGGAUUAAAGCAGGGAGACGUUGACUCAAACCUUGGAUAUUUUUUUUUCUAACAAUAAGAAUUUGUGGUAGUCAAUAGAACUUCAAAAGGAUCUACUCUGAAUAACUUUCAUUUCUAAUUAAGAUUAGAUCUCAAAUACAUGUUAUUGGUAUUACAUAAGAAAGAUCUGUGUAAAUUUUAUGCUCACAUUUUCAGCAAGCUGACAGCAAACAGAAAAACUCCAUUAUGAUUCAGACAAAUUGUGGCAUGAUUUUUUUGUUUCAUUUACGUGUUUGUGAUUUAUUUUAAUGAGAUGCUCUGACAUGUUCUGAUGAAUGCAUGGUCUUUGUGUAUACAGGGACGAUAUAUUUAGGUGUGUAGCAGUGUGCAUAUUGAAGUAGACAGAUGCACAUUUAACCGAUCCCAUGAAUCUUGAUUCAAACAGUACUAACAAUGCAUACACAAAGACCUUGAACCUUUUUGUUAAUGCAAGUCCAGCAUUUUUAAAAUUUGAUUCUUGCAUGCCAGACAUUUGAAUAAAUUUUUUCAGACCAAUCAAUGAAAUGCAUUUUCACUAUCUACCAGUCCUAGAAGGAAUAUUUAGUGGUAAGAACUGCAGUUUUCCGUAGAUUCUGCAAGUCUACAUUUUUUUUUUUUUUUUUGCAGGUGUGACUAAAUGAGCAUAGAGCUGAAGUUAAAGAAUCGAGUCUGAACCAAACUAGUUUCUGCUCAGGAAACGACGACAAUGGACCCCACGAGAGCUGCAGAACUUCCUGGUACAAUAUCCUGCACUAAGAAUGUCUGAUGUCUGCUCUGAGAAUUUCCUGUUCAUCUUUCUAUGAAGAUUGAGGAAAAGCCGGUGUGAUUUACACGUUGCUGUGGAAAGAGGAAGAUCCAUAUUGAUUUAUGGGUUUGAAGAUCAUAGGCCAAGGUCACAAAGAGUAGGAGUGCUAUUCCAGAUUCAUACCUAACACUUCCAUGUUUUAAAGAUAACAGGUAAGGACUUUGAACUUGG